rnacentral:rRNA from 1 species
CCCUUAGAUGUUCGGGGCCGCACGCGCGCUACACUGAAGGGAUCAGCGUGUCUCACCUCGCCUGAGAAGGCCGGGUAACCCGUUGAACCUCCUUCGUGCUAGGGAUUGGGGCUUGUAAUUCUUGCCCAUGAACGAGGAAUUCCCAGUAAGCGCGAGUCAUCAGCUCGCGUUGAUUACGUCCCUGCCCUUUGUACACACCGCCCGUCGCUACUACCGAUUGGAUGGUUUAGUGAGAUCCUUGGAUCGGCCCUGUCGCGGCUGGCAACGGCCGCGUCGGCGCGUCGAGAAGACGAUCAAACUUGAUCAUUUAGAGGAAGUAAAAGUCGUAACA